rnacentral:rRNA from 1 species
UACGAAGGGGGGCUAGCGUUGCUCGGAAUCACUGGGCGUAAAGCGCACGUAGGCGGCUUCUUAAGUCAGGGGUGAAAUCCUGGAGCUCAACUCCAGAACUGCCUUUGAUACUGAGGAGCUCGAGUCCGGAAGAGGUGAGUGGAACUGCGAGUGUAGAGGUGAAAUUCGUAGAUAUUCGCAAGAACACCAGUGGCGAAGGCGGACUCACUGGUCCGGUACUGACGCUGAGGUGCGAAAGCGUGGGGAGCAAACAGG